rnacentral:piRNA from 1 species
UUGGCUUCGUUGACACUACCCUCCUCUGGUU